GGUGCUGUAGACUAAUUGGUUAGGUCGGCUCUAUGGAAUGGAGGAAAUGCGGGUUCGAAUUCCACCGGUACCC
rnacentral:tRNA from 1 species